UACGUAGGGGGCUAGCGUUGUCCGGAAUCAUUGGGCGUAAAGAGCGUGUAGGCGGCCCGGUAAGUCCGCUGUGAAAGUCGGGGGCUCAACCCUCGAAUGCCGGUGGAUACUGUCGGGCUAGAGUGCGGAAGAGGCGAGUGGAAUUCCUGGUGUAGCGGUGAAAUGCGCAGAUAUCAGGAGGAACACCGAUUGCGAAGGCAGCUCGCUGGGACGUAACUGACGCUGAGACGCGAAAGCGUGGGAGCAAACAGG
rnacentral:rRNA from 1 species